UCUACGGGUGGCAGCAGUGGGGAAUAUUGCACAAUGGGCGAAAGCCUGAUGCAGCAACGCCGCGUGAGCGAUGAAGGCCUUCGGGUCGUAAAGCUCUGUCCUCAGGGAAGAUAAUGACGGUACUUGCGGAGGAAGCCGCGGCUAACUACGUGCCAGCAGCCGCGGUAAUACGUAGGGGGCUGGCGUUAUCCGGAAUUACUGGGCGAAAAGGGGGCGCUGGUGGUUUCUUAAGUCAGAGGUGAAAGGCUGCGGCUCAACCGUAGUAAGCCUUGGAAAUUGGGGAACUUGAGUGCAGGAGAGGAGAGUGGAAUUCCUAGUGUAGCGGUGAAAUGCGUAGAUAUUAGGAGGAACACCAGUGGCGAAGGCGGCUCUCUGGACUGUAACUGACGCUGAGGCACGAAAGCGUGGGGAGCAAACAGGAUUAGAUACCCUAGUAGUC
rnacentral:rRNA from 1 species